CAUAUUUGGGAAGUUGCCACUUGAGAAAUUGUCAUUUGGGAAGUUGCCCAUGGGAAAAUGCCUCUGAGAGAUUACCUAAGACCUUCCUAGAACCCCCGGGGUUCUGUAGACUCGGAUUUAUCUGACACCUCGGAUUCUACCAACAAUAAUCUAUCCGUCAAAUCUACUCAGGAGUUUCUGAGAAACUUCUCGGCUCAACUGAAUGAUCAGCUCAUUGUAAUAGAAGACUUUGAUCCUGGACUUGAGUCAGAUUCAGACUCAGAAAUUGAUACAAGGUCUAGACAUGAUCAGAGAAUAAGAAUUCAAAGUGCCAGACAACGACCACCCUCCUACCAGACAAAUCCAUCUGUUGAACCCAGAGAAUCAGUCCCCGUUGAUCUGGCAAAAGAUGGGUUUUCACUUCAGCCUGGGGGGAACAUGGAACCAUGUUUUCCCAUGGGGACAGGGUUAACAGAUGAACCAUGUUUGCCCAGGGGGACAGGGUUAACAGAUGAAUUUAGAACGGACUCAACCACAUCUUCUCUAAUCAGGCAAUUGUAUCAAAUACUUAUUUCUUUACAAAAUUGCAUGUUUCCAUUUAACAGUUUAUGGCAUAAAUAUUUUUUAAGAUACUAGGCUAUCAGGGCGCUUCGCGCCCAUCUUCUAUUUUAACUUUUA